ensembl:lncRNA
CCCACCCCUGCACUCCGGGCAGCCGCCCGGCGCAGGCUCCAGGCUGCUGUCGCUCUCCCUGGCGUAGAAUGCUCACAGGCCCUGGGCCAUCGGGAACCACUGGACCAGAGAGGUCCGGGAGGGAGCCAACAUCUAUUAAGCUCUUACUGUGUGUCCAACGAUCUACGGGGAACCCUCUACCAAGGGUCUGGAAGUGGGAAUCUCUGCGUAGACCAGAAGAGGGCUCUAGGAGUGGGGAAGUUUAAGGGGCUCUGGCUAGAGCUGGGAACUCCGGGGGCCUCCGGGUAACCAAUGGCCCACGGGUGAAAGUAAGCGCAGCUUCGUGCAACACCCCAACUCUGAGCUGGGACUGCUGUCCCGGGCUGAGGAGAAACGAAGGGCGAGUAUGUUAGGGGCGCAGGAACCGAAAUGGCCUCAGUCUCCUGUCACUGCCCCGUCACGAUGCUGGGGAAUCUCCAGGCCAGUAACCCAGCCCCCACCCCCUCCCGCACACUCAGGGGCCGCUGGACAAAGACCUGACGGAAUGGGAGGGGCCUGCGGGCCGGCCCUCGGGCUCCGGCCGCCGGAUCCUUCUGGGACCCGAACCCGCAAAUCCUGGCUCCCUCUCCCCAGCCCGCAGACUCCCCAGAGCCCGCCGCUCGCUACCAUCACUGCCUCGGUCCAGAUCGGGCGGCGAAGCGGGUGCCCGUCGGCGGCCGAGCGGCGAUCCCAUCCCUGGUCGCCCCCUUCCUCCCGGGAAAUGACCCUGGGCUCCCACGCACCGGCUCGGGUCUCUCCCGGCCUUGCCCUCCGACCUCCGCCUAGUUAGCCCCUCUGCCCCUCAGCCCCCGCCCUCCCCGGGCCUCGCACGGCCCCGUGCCCGCGGACAAAGCUCCGGACAUCGGACCGCACAGUCGCCACCCCCUGACCCCCGGCCGGCCCGCGCGCUCCCGCGCCUGCCCCCUCCCGGGCCUGCGACGCGUACCUCGGCAUCCCGGCCGGGUCCUAGGCCGCUCGCCCGCUCCCGCCUCCCCUGCCGUCGGAGCGGGAAGCUGCGCUGGGGGUGGAGGCCCGGCCCGGAGGCGGGGAGGCCGAGGAGGCCGGACGGGCGCGGAGGCCAGGGUUGAGCUCCAGGCUGCCGUGAGUGGCCGCUGGCUGUGAGCCGCUUCCUGGGUCGAAGGGCAAAGGGGAAGGCGGCCGGCCCGGCCGGGCCCGCCCCGUCCGCUGACUGGCCAAGACCAGGACGCCUGUGGACUCUCGUCUGCGUCCAGGACUCGGACACUCUGUCCGUCUGCCGUCUCAUUGGUUGGUUGAAGACUGUGCCUCCUGAUCAACGCUUGACUCCGCCCAAAGAAGUACCACCCCUCUUCUCCUGCUCAAGGACAGCCGGAAUGACUCUGCAAACCGAGAAAGAUCUAGGGCCAAAUAAAGGCUAAAAUGCAAAAAUUGUCAGGCCUCAUGUCUUAUUUUUGUUUGAGAAAUGCAGGCAUUUCCAUGACAGCCAGCAGGCUCUUAACGGGGGCUGGGGAUAUUAGCCCUAGGAUAGGGCUCCUCAGCAUAAGAGAAUGCCCAAACUCAGUCCCCAGGACCUGUGUCCCCACUCACCCACACCCCCACAACCUCCCC